rnacentral:lncRNA from 1 species
AAAACGAUAUCCGGUCUUACCGGUUUUACUACUUGAGCGAUUUGGUGCACUUGCCACAGUCUCAAUAACUGCCAAGCGCACAAUGCAUGGAAUCACCACGUGUUUUCCACUUACUGUCCUGUCUUUUAUCCACAACAAUAUUCAUCAAUGCUACAUGGUCUGAAUCUGAAGUAAGCUCUUCCUUUGGAAGAUUCACCUCACCACCUUUUUCUUUCUUAUUAUCUUCAUUGUGCCAGCACUAACUUGAAUAAUGACCAACCUUGUUACAUGUGUAACAUUGUAUACCUCUCUUGUCAAUGUUCCUUUUACCGCCUCUACCUCUUGUUUUUCCUCUGCCUCUGCAACUGCCAUGUUCAUUGUUUUCAAGAUCUUUGUUCCGUUCUGAAUUAUUAGCGGACCUUCCUCCGUUUCUGCCUCCACGACCACCUCGUGUUCUGCCUCUACCUCUGCCGAAUCCAUGCUACUUUUGCAUCUUGGCUUGUAAUGCUUGGCUGAUCUAGAUCGCAACUUGUUCUGCAGCUUUCCUUUCUAACAGUCUCUGUUCGUGAGCCUCAAGUGAGUUUUGUAAUUCCUCCACUUUCAUCUUCUCCAAAUCUCGACUUUCUACAAUCGCCACGACAAUGUGGUCAUCAUGGGGUGUUAACGUACGCAAGAUCUUAUGAACUAUCUUUUUGUCCUUGACGGUUUUGUUGCAUGCCCGCAUUGUGUUGACAAUCACCUGAAUUCUGCUAAUGUAACCUUGAAUCAUUUCUUGUUCCCCAUGUUCAGAAGCUCAUAUUGUUGUCUCAGUGACUGUAGUUUAAUCACCUUUAUAUUCCCCGUAGUUCCAUACCCAUCUUGUAGAAUUUCCCAAGUUUCCUUUGUUGUCGUAGCCUUGGAUACCUUUUGGAAAAUCAUUGCUGAAAUGCAUUGAUGCAAGAUCAUGCGCCCCUUGCAAUUCAAUUUUCUGUUCUCUUUAUAUGCUUUCUUUUCUUCAUCUGUAGCAGUCUUUGCAAGAUCUUUAAACCCUUCUUU